rnacentral:rRNA from 1 species
GACGAACGCUGGCGGCGUGCUUAACACAUGCAAGUCGAACGAAGUGGCGAACGGGUGAGUAACGCGUAAUCAACCUGCCCUUCCGAGGGGGACAACAUUUGGCCACGACUGCUAAUACCGAAUACUGAAGGCGGGGAUUUCGUCUGAUUAUCUGUUUGGAGGGGUACCGGCCCACCAAGGCGAUGAUCAGUAGACGGUCUGGGAGCAUGAACGGCGAAAUUGGGACUGAGACACGGCCCAGACUCCUACGGGAGGCAGCAGUGGGGAAUCUGCCGCAAUGGACGAAAGUCUGACGGAGCAACGCCGCGGUAGUGAGGACGACCUUCGGGUUGUAAAGCUCUGUUAAUCGGGACGCGGUACCGGAAUAGAAAGCCACGGCUAACUACGUGCCAGCAGACGCGGUAAUUC